GACGAACGCUGGCGGCGUGCUUAACACAUGCAAGUCGAACGGAAAGGCCCUGCUCUUGUGGGGUGCUCGAGUGGCGAAAGGGUGAGUAACACGUGAGUAACCUGCCCUUGACUUUGGGAUAACUUCAGGAAACUGGGGCUAAUACCGGAUAGGAGCUCCUGCUGCAUGGUGGGGGUUGGAAAGUUUCGGCGGUUGGGGAUGGACUCGCGGCUUAUCAGCUUGUUGGUGGGGUAGUGGCUUACCAAGGCUUUGACGGGUAGCCGGCCUGAGAGGGUGACCGGCCACAUUGGGACUGAGAUACGGCCCAGACUCCUACGGGAGGCAGCAGUGGGGAAUAUUGCACAAUGGGCGGAAGCCUGAUGCAGCAACGCCGCGUGCGGGAUGACGGCCUUCGGGUUGUAAACCGCUUUCGCCUGUGACGAAGCGUGAGUGACGGUAAUGGGUAAAGAAGCACCGGCUAACUACGUG
rnacentral:rRNA from 1 species